UACAGAGGGUGCAAGCGUUGUUCGGAAUUAUUGGGCGUAAAGGGCGCGUAGGCGGUGCGGUAAGUCUGUAGUGAAAUCUCUGGGCUCAACUCAGAGUCUGCUGCAGAAACUGCCGUGCUUGAGUGUGGGAGAGGUGAGUGGAAUUCCCGGUGUAGCGGUGAAAUGCGUAGAUAUCAGGAGGAACACCGGUGGCGAAGGCGGCUCUCUGGACCGUAACUGACGCUGAGGCGCGAAAGCGUGGGGAGCAAACAGG
rnacentral:rRNA from 1 species